CGCGGUAUUUUGACCGUGCGAAGGUAGCAUAAUCAUUAGUCUUUUAAUUGGAGGCUUGUAUGAAGGGUUGGACGAGAAAUUGGCUGUCUUUGUAGAAAUGAUGGAAUUUGACUUUUAAGUGAGAAGGCUUAAAUGUUCUAAAGGGACGAUAAGACCCUAUAAAGUUUGACGGUCUGGGUUUUAAAAGAUAAAUUGGUUAACUAGAGUUUGUUAGGAACAGGGUGUUUUGUUGGGGCGGUAAGAAUAUAAGUGAUUUAACUGUUUUAUAGUUAGCAACAAAGGUAGUUGGGUUUAUGAUCCUUGUUAAAGAUUGUUAGAAUAAAUUACUUUAGGGAUAACAGCGUAAUUUUUUUUGAGAGUUCUUAUCGACAAAGAAGUUUGCGACCUCGAUGUUGAAUUAAAAGUUCUUUGUGGCGUAGCAGUUAGGAGAGAAGGUCUGUUCGACCUUUAA
rnacentral:rRNA from 1 species